UACAGAGGGGGCAAGCGUUGUUCGGAAUUACUGGGCGUAAAGGGCGCGUAGGCGGGCAGGUAAGUCAGUGGUGAAAUCUCCAAGCUUAACUUGGAAACUGCCGUUGAUACUAUCUGUCUUGAAUGUUGUGGAGGUGAGCGGAAUAUGUCAUGUAGCGGUGAAAUGCUUAGAUAUGACAUAGAACACCAAUUGCGAAGGCAGCUCACUACACAAUUACUGACUCUGAGGCACGAAAGCGUGGGGAUCAAACAGG
rnacentral:rRNA from 1 species